GUGUGAGGUUCAUUGUACAUGAAUGGCAUUGACGAGUUCCUUGUAAACAGAAUAAUGUUGUAUGGCACAUUGAAUGUCAAAUCAGACCUGUACUGAUUGCAUUUCUUGUAUCCAUUUUUUUUUUUUUUACGCAAAUAGGGUAUUUUGAGAAAUUUUGAUAUUUUAAAGAAAGCCUGAAUUGUCCCCCGGCUGCAUUCACCCGAGCUGCAGAAGGCAUCAAGCGACGACGAUGAAGGUUCGCAUGGAGAUGUCGGGGAAGCGCAGGGCUCCGGCCGCCUACAACGUGCCCGAUCCAAAGGUUGUCAAGGAAUGUGCCAUGGAACUGAGAAACAUCGGGGAUUUGUUUAACGUCCUCCAGCUCAUGCUAAAUACUGUCAGCAAGAUGUUUCAGCGGUCCACCUGAACGCCGAAGACAAAGCUACAGCGCCAGAGGAUGGCUGGAAAAAGUGUGUCGGUUUUCUCUAACUGCUGCCGGUUGGGGAGGAAUUCAUGUCUCAACAUGCCCGCGAAGUGAGCAGACUGUAUUGUGAAUGGUGACCAAGUUAUCGAAUGGGGAAGUGGAGAAAUUAAUACAAUGAGGGUCUGUUUUUAGAAGUAAGAUAUGACUGAUAUGAAUGGUACUAACUACUGGUCAGAGGACAAAAUAAAAUCUAAAAGUGAGCUUCUAAAUGUAUUUGGGAAGAGUGCCUGGGGAACCAUGGACUGAAAUGUCCCAUAAAGUAACGUUUGCCCAAUAUUUUCAAUGUAUCUACAUGUUGGAGAGGUGUGUAUCUCCUAGAGCAACGUAUAAUUGCCUAUUGUAAAAAAAGUGGCAAAUAAGAUUACACAAUAGAUCAGGAAACAUGGUUGAAGGCUUUGUGAGAAAUCAUGAAAGAUAUGUUUUAAAUUUCAGUGAUUUGCUUUGUGAAAUGGUAUACCUUUACCUUUUGUAAUGUAUUUUGAAAUGCAACUAAAUGUCUUUUACGAUGCAUUUUCCAUUAGUAAUAACAUAAAGUUAUUUGAAGUAGCAAUGUAUAGCCUCUUUGUAUGAGCAUAAGUAGUUAAUAGGAGGAUACCUAUUAUUCAUGAGGUUUUAAAAUAUUAAAAUGACUCUCUUUAAAGUUAAUGUGGCUUUAAAAAUAAAAUAUUGUCUUUAACUAUCAUCUUUUGAAUUUAUAUUAUAACACAGUAAGACAGCUCUGAUUCUGUAGUUUAUAGAAAUACAUUAAAUAAAUGUGCUGCGAUUGA